rnacentral:tmRNA from 1 species
GGGGGUGAUCGGUUUCGACUUCGGUAUGUCGAGACAUGGGGAAGCGGGCCGAGGGUUGCGGUUGUGACCUCGUAAAUCCUGUAACCGCAAAACAACAAGUGCCAACUCUAAGCGCACUCAGUUCGCCCUCGCCGCCUGAGGCUAGGUAGCGAACUUGUCAGCCCGAGAGCGUCUCCGACUCGGGACCUGGCAUCGUAAGGAGACUCAACCUGUAGUCCCGGCCGCGGGAACAACAGGGAAACCAAACAGCGGCUGAGCCUGUCGGCGACACGCCUGCGUGAGCGCCGGGGCUGAGAAAACGCCAAGCAGGCUGCGCCCGGAGAAGCCCUGUCUUGGUACCGAAGGACGCGGGUUCGAUUCCCGCCACCUCCAC